AUGAGGCAUCCAAGCGAGUGGAGCGAAACCCGAGCUGAUGAGAAAGGCCGCGAUGCGCUGGUACAAGGCACGCGACGCCUGCUUGAGCCCAUACAAGGAGCACGAGAACAAGCAAAUGUGGUCGGGAUGCGCGUCGUUGACAAAGCCGGUGGGCUGUUGGCAGUACACAUGUUCAUCAAGAUGUCCAUGAAGAAAGUCGUUAGAAACGUCCAUCUGGUGAACUUGGCCAUGCUCGAGACACCUCGAGCUGGAGGACGGUGCAGAUCGUUCCCGGUUUUACAACCGGAGCGAAGGUGUCGGUGA
rnacentral:rRNA from 1 species